AAAACGAACACGAAUUAUUUUCUUUUUCUUAAAUUUUUUUAUUGUUUUUUUUUUUUUUUUAACACAAAAUUUUAUUUUAUUGUUUUCGUUGAUACAGCUGCUGGAGAAUUUGCAUCCUUGAAGAAUAUUGUAGCUGCUGUGCUUUGUGGGAAGUUUGGGUUAGGGUGAAAAUUCUCAGCUAGCGUCUCAUUAUUGAACUCCUUGAAAAACAACAAAUUGAUAAAUUAUUAAUUAUAAAAUGGCAGAAGCACGUUAAGCAAUUCAUACCUUUUUUUGAAAUAAAAUUUUCCAUAUUAAUAAAACAAUACUAAUGCCCGUCGUACACUACUAGUGCACAACUAGUUCAACCAACUUCUUAUUCAACUCAUCAAUUGGAUAAGCAAUUUUAUAACCUCGUACACUAGUGCACAAACUCACGUUCUCGGCUAAAAUUUAGCGCGAACAGCGUACCAGGCUUGAGCAACAAAACUAGAUGUAAAACUGAAUAAAACGCGUUGUGGGCCUCCUACACCUAGUUGAUCAACUCCAUCAAUUGUUGAACACCCUGGUUUAUCAACUUCAUCAAUUGUUGGAUACCCUCGUACACCUAGUUGACCAACUCAUUCAAUUGUUGAACAGCCUCGUACACCUGUUGAUAAACUUGUUGGAUUUUGGGGAAAAAAACCGUUCCUCGAGUUUAUCAACUGCGUUCUCGAGGUAGUAUCGUCGCCCGAGAGUUGUUUUGUCGUAAACGCCAAAAUGGACUUUUUUAAACUGGAUAUGUAGUAAUAGGUUUUAUAACGUUCUCUUUUCAUUUCUGUUAUCAGAUUUGUCCUAUCGUUUACCGUUACUGAGAUAAUUAGUGUGCAUUUUGUCGUAUAUCCACAAAAUAAGCAUUGGAUUAGCGUUGGUUUGUCGUAAGCGCCAACUUUUGGCGUUUACGACAAAAAUUCUAUGUAUUUUUCAGCUUUUUUUUCUUCAGUAUUGGUUUGUCGUACGUCGUACAAAACCGAUACGGUAGAAAAUUUCGAAAGAAAUUUUAAAAUUGUUUUUUCUUACAUGUUUGUAUAUAUCCGAAAUAGAAUGUAAACAGAUAUAAUAUACCUACUAGAAAAGUAUUUAUUGAAAAUAAGGACUUCAUGUGCUAUAGGGACAACGACUUUAAAAACUAUGGGCUGCAUUAAGCUCUGCGCUACUUGAGGUUUUGCUUUAUUCCUAGAGGUGCAAGGAAGAAAAAAGUGCAUUUCAGAGACAUCUCAAAUGUUGUGUUUAAUUAAUGGUUCUUGUCGUUUGUUCCUGCCGCAAGUAUCUUGACCUCAUCCUCGGUCGCAAGAACCGAUCUGACACAAUAUGGAAGUGGGUGUGGCUCAUAAAUAUGUACACUUGUUGAUCUUCUAUCAAAAACACAAGAUCAACAAGUCGACCGUCGGUCGCGGGCGCCACUUCGUUCAAGCGCGCUGUCUUGAAAGAAGUGAAAAAAGGUUGCGGUUUUAUUGUUUUAUUUUUGUACACUUAUUGAUCUUGUCGCUUCGUUCACGAGCGCUGUCUUCAACGAAGUGAAGUGAAAAAAAGGUCGCUGUUUUAUUGUUUUAUUGCUCUUGUAUCGAUCACACAAGAUCAACAAGUCGACUGUAGUCAUGGGCGCCUCGCCGUGGCGCCUCUUUGUUCACGCGCGCUGUCGUGAACGAAGCGAAAAAGGGUUGCUGUGAGUUUUGUUAUUGCACCCGCUCGCAAAAACACCUGCUGGUCGAAAAUUAUUUUUUUAAGGCGCCAUUGUUCUUCGCGAAAAAAAGGUCGCUGUUUUAUUGUUUUAUUGCUGUACACUUAUUGAUCUUGUAUCGAGCACAAAAGAACAACAAGUCGACCGUCGGUCGCGGGCGGCGCUUCGUUCUAGCGCGCUGUCUUGAAGUGAAAAAAGGUCGCGGUUUUAUUGUUUUAUUUGUUGUUUCUUUCAUGUUUCAUAGUCAUAGAAUGGCUUUUAGUUUUUGUUAAAAAAAAAUUUUUUUAAUUUUUUUUUUCCAUGUUUAUGGUCAUAUUUAUUGUUUUAUUCUUUGUUUUUAAUCUAUUUAUUUUACUACUAUGUAAUAAGAAACUAUUUUUUAAAUGUUUAAUUAAUAAAUAAAAACGAACUGUGAAAUUUGAAAAUUUACUUUUUUAUUUGUCUUGGUAUUGGAAUGUCGUACGUGCGCCUACUUUGUCGUACGUGUAUGGGAUGGAAAAAAAGUUGAUUUUGGUGGCGUUUACGACAAACUGAUUUUGGGUAAAAACCCCGAUAAUUUGAAAGCCAAACUAGAUGUGACAAUUUUGACAACAUAAAUAUAAAGAAGAUAUCGCACAAAAUAUUCUAUUAAAAAUUGAAAAAAAUCUAUCGGCCAGUUUUUUUUUUAUAGAAGCUCAAACCUUAAAAUGCGAUUUCCCAAAAUUCCAAAAUUGGCGUAUACGACAAAACAAUUCUCAGGCGACGAGUUGCUGAACGAUAGACGAGUUUAUACCCUCGUACACAUAAUCAAAAGUUGCUUGUUGGACAACGCGUUGAAUAUAAUUGGUGUCGGCAGCUUUUCAAAUAUGUAAUUUUUACUUCUGUUGCACACGCACACGUCCACGCACAAUGCACAACUGUGUCGCAUGUACUGGCUCUAAUGCUUGGAAUAGUAAAAAUGAUUAAAAAAAUUUUAAUUCAAAUAAUUGAACUUUUUUUUUAAUUCAAAAAAUUAUUUUUUUAAAAUUAGAAUUACUAAAACGUUUCUGUACAAAAAUUUUCAUUCACAUCGGUGGUGUCGCUUAGGAGAAAGUCAGACAUCAAGAAAACGGUUCUAUGGCAAGUACCUUUAAUACCUGUCCAAAACUUUGAUUUGUAUGUAUUUCAAAAGUACGAUAAAAAUUGAUCAACUCGAACAACGCACUCACAUUUCGUCGCAUCCAACGCAACGCACAACAUAUAGCUCCGCAUUUACAACAACAAACGCUAAAAAAAAAUUAUGAAGUUGGCCAACGAGUUGGAACAACAAAGUGCAUUAUCGGAAAAAUGUUGCUCAACGCGUUCAUUGAGGAUUUCCAACGAGCAACUCGAGCUCGUACACUACUCGUGUACUUUAUGAGAAACUCGUUGAGCAACGUUCUCCAACUCGUUCGUUGAAUAUAAUUGAGGACACCGUACACUAUAGUUACGGUGACCAUAUUUCUGGAAGCAAAACCCAGGAUAAAUACAAAAUUUGUUGGAUCGUUUUGAAAAUAUUGAUUUCCAAAAAUAAUUUAAAUUUUUUUAAAUGAGUUUUCAUAAUUUCUCCUUGUUUUGAUAUGAAGAUUUCCUAAACGAUUUAAUGGGAGCGUUUUUGUUGCAAUCAUUUAAGUCAUUUACGAAAGAAAUCAAGAAAAUGGUUUUAUAAUAAUGUCUGUUCAUAACUUUAAAAAAUAUAUUUUUUUAUUCAAAUCGA